UGCUGGGGAUUGAACCCAGGGCCUCGUGCUUGUUCGGCAAAUGCUCUACCACUGAGCCAUAUUCUUAGCCCUGAGACCAAAUUUUUCUCCCAUCUCUACCCACUUCCCAAGUGUUCACAGAAUGGAUCAUGGGCCCCUUAAUCUUGCGUGACCACUUAAUUGCUCUCCUGCUUGCUUGAAAGAAAAGAAAGAAAGAAAAUUAUGUUUUGGCCACUGAUUUAGCUAUAUGAACUCAUCUCAUCACCCUUUUCUGGGUCUGAAGCUGCUGUAUCUAAAAGUGCCAUCUCAUUGUGCUUUGUAUCAGUCAGUGCUGGAGAAUCUUGAAUAGCUUAUGUACACAACUUUUUAAAUUUUAUAUUAUUUUGAAACUGCAUCUUUGGGGUGGGGUACCUGGCCACCUCGUCUGGCUGAGAGUCCUGCAGUCUGGGCUGGCAGAGUGCUGAACGUUCAAAGUUUCUUUCCCAGCCCAAUCCCCACUUUUUUAGGUGAGGUUUCAUGAGGUCUGUUAGGUGUACAUCCUGCAGCUUAUUGGCUUAAAAUGUAUUCUCCUUUGUUGUGGUCUCUUUGGGGCCAGUUGGGAGAAAGACAAACAAUAGUGCAACUGUUUUGAUACUGAAUAUUGACAAGUGUCUUUUUGAAAUAAAGAACCAGUCCCUCCAAA
rnacentral:lncRNA from 1 species